CCAACCUUUCACUCACCCUUUUUCUUCCGGUUAAAUAGAUUUACAAAAAAGGUUUGUCUCUUGAGGUUACAAUAGACUUUUUUACAAAUGUUUUUAGCUUGAUGUACAACAAGCUGAAGCAAAGCUACUUCUCCUUGAUUCCUCCAUCCACAACUACCUAUCCGUCGCCACCGACCAGCUACCCAACUCCAUUUUCGAAGCCGUCGAUAGUGUGAUUUGCGGUUGUAGCAAAUCUUACCACCACGACAUGGGGGAUUUGGAGUUGUUUGUAGAGAGAAAAUGCCUUUUAGACAGAUAAAGGAAAACGUCAUGGUGGUGGUUUUGUAGUGGUGGAGGUGUUGUGCCGGUGAUCCUACAGAGAGAGAGAGAGUGUGUAAACCGGCGGUGGCAUUGUGGUGUGGGUGGCAGAGAAGUUGGAGAGGGUGGCCGGUGAUUCCUCUUCGGUGAUGUUCUGGUGGCGCUGUGGUGAUUUGGGUUGGGGUCCUAACCGAUGCUGUAGACAGAAGAGCGAUGGUGGUGCGUUGGUGGCUAUCGCAAUUUUAUGGUGGUGGCAAGGUGUUGGAGAUUUAUGAUAGAGGAAAAAACUAUUCCACAUCUGGUUUUUAGGGUUGAGAUACCAUGGGCUUCAAAUUGUUAUUUUUACCAUGUGGUUAAAAUUUUUUGUACCGUUUGGCUUUGAUCUAUAUCAAAAAGCCAUUUUGAUUUUUAUUUUUGUUUUUAUUUUUCUUUUUAUAUUGUGAAAUUAUUAUAAUAUGAUGUUGGUGACAAUGGACUGCAAAACGUUGGCCAAAUAUUUAAAAAAAGUUAAAAAAUUACAAUUUCAAGUGUGUGUAUAUUUUAUUUCAUUUCAUAUAGAUACAAAACCCAUGGAUGAAAUAGUGCUAGACAGUAUCCUAAAACUUCCCUAUUGGUCCGAAUAGAUUGUGAUUUUACAUCAGUUUUAAAUUACGAUUUAAUCCCCAGUUUAAUAUUAUUUUUAUAAGCUAAUUAUGAAUUUAUGAUCACACUUUUAAAUGUGUUUUAUAUAUCAAACAGAAUGAAAAAAUAGCGGUUAAUAAGGUUCAACAUUUUAUAUCUUUUUUUUUUGUUUAAAAGCUCAUUCGUAACGCGCGUGCGCUAAGUCGAGUUGGUUAUUGUUUUCGAUAUUUUACGUUUCAGUUUAUUUUUUUGUGAUUUAACGUGUCCUAACGCGUGUGCAUGGAUUAAUGUUUUUAUGUUACUUUUUGUUCGGUAUAACGGUCCCGCCGCAUCGUGCGGGUCUCAAAAACUAGUUGCUUUUUAUUAGGUAAUCACUCGAGAGAAGAGAAAAUCAAGAAGCUUUAAAUAAGAGGUUUGCAAAAAAAUUUCAAAUUGUUCGUAACACUAGAUGUUUUUCAAGAGUACAUCAAGACACAUAUAAAGACCAAGUUAUUUUGUCUAAUAGUGUAUUGUGGAGCUUAGUGAUAGCGUCACUACAGUAAAUACACAAAAAGAAAAGAAAGUAAAUUCCUUAUUUUUCUAACUAUAUUUCUUAUUGUUUGCUUAUUGUUAUUAGUAUUUAUUUUAUUAAUAAUUGUAAAAAAAGACAAGAAUAUUGUAUGCAUUGAGCUUUAUUAAACUUACUAGUAUUUUUACCCGCUGCGCGUUGCGGCGGCGUACACAACUCGUUCAGAACUAAAUUUAUGUCAAAACAUAGAAUUUAUAUCGUGUCGAAUGAAAACACAUUCUAUUUUACCCCAACAAAUUCUACAUUGAAACAUAGACUAACUCAAAACAUAGAUACGUGGUUGCCGAGCAAAAUUUAUAUCGAAAGUUAAGACCAAAUAAAAGAUGAAGAGAAAGUACCCGUCGCUCAUUGCGGCGAGCGGCUGAUCUAAACACAAACUAACUUGAAUUAACACCAAACAUAUUAUUCCAAAUCAAAAUGCCUUCCAUCUUUGAAAAAAUAUAUGUCAAAAUACUUGGGACCUAAGACCCUAAUUGAUGUCUGCCAACUGAUCCAUGCCAAAAUCAAUAACCUAUACCUGUCAGCGCUAUGAAUCCUCUUUGCACCCCUUCUCCGCAAUAACGGAUUACCGCCAUAAUCGGCUUGCUGUAAGUCCAACUAAACCGUAGCUGAUUGCGAGUAGUUCAUCGUUCUAAACUUUAUAACAAAAAGAAGAAAACAAAACACUUGUAUAAACUUACUCUUGGCGCACGUUUCUUUAUGUUCAUAUCCCUAGUUAGCCACGUAAUAGUAAGAGAUAAGCAUGGAGAAAACAUGUGUAAAAGUAAGCAAUAAUCUAAAAAAAUACCUUCCCCAAGGCUGGAAUCGGAACACACUAAAACAUAAACAAUGCACUCUACCAGUAUACCAGCAAUAAAUAUAGAAAUAAAUUCCAAUUAUACACUUGUUGAACCGUCAUGAAGCUAGUCCAUUUGAAAAGUAAGUUGGAGAACUGAAGAAGGCAGGCUAUUAAUAGGAUACAACAUUAAGCCCAAUUUAAAUUUCUAAACAUAAUAUAUAUGGGGUUAAAUGAACUGGCAAGAUAAUGUACAUGUUCUCCUAUUAAUAGCAGCAACAAACUUUGAAUAUCACAUGAAGUAGUAGCAUACUUUAACUUCUUUCCCAAUUAGCAAAUCAAAACCAAAAUAAUAAAUUACAUUGCUGUUGUCGAUGAAAAAAAAAUAUGUUUAUGUGAACAGUUAAAAAUGAAAGCAAGUUGCUAAUUGGUCAAAGAUGGAAGUAUGUUGCUUGAUUCAUAGCAAAAUGGGAACGGUACUAUUACUUGGGUUUCGUCAUACACUAUAAUUACUUAUAACUUUCGUUGUAUGUCACUGAUUAAUAACCAUUAAUAAAGUAAACUACAUACUUAUUUCAAACAAUUGACCCUAUUCAUAUGAGAGCACAACAAAGUAGCAUGUAUAACGUUUACCUUGUAUCAGGCUUCAUUGAGAACAUAGCAUGCCUCCCGCCAAAGCUUUUGUGAAACUACAUACCUACAACUUCUCAUCCUUACAGCCUUACACAUAGUCACCUAAUACGCGGUUCGCUCCGGUUCGGGUACGCGAUUCGGGUUCGCGAUUCACUAGUUGCGACGAAUUCGGUUCGGAGGAGGGUAGGUUCAUUUCGGUACGAUUCGGUUCGGUGUACCAUUCCGUCCGGUUCGGUAUACACAUUUCUUAAUGAAAUAAGAAAAAAAAGUAAACAAUUAAAAAACGUUUUAAGUUAAAGUUGAUAAAAAAUAAAAGUAUUGAGGUCUAAGGAUGAAAUAUGUAACUUUAUAAAAAAAACCUUAGAUUAAAACUUAUAAUAACACAAACAUAAAGGAUGAAAUAUGUAAAUAAAAGAGGUUUAGGUUAAAAUAGAUUAAAGAAACGCAGCCGUCAUAUUAUGUCAGCCUCCAUCUCCAUCGUCUCCUCCAUUUUCACUAGGGUUCAUCAUCACAUCACAGGAUUAAAUAAAGACAUUGAAUGGUUGAUCAAUAUCAUAUCAUGGAUAGUGGUGAUUUGAAGAAUCGGAGUUUGUACAAAAAAAAACUUAAGCAUGUAUUUGAAUUUGUUUUUUAAUCAUCUUAUACUAUUUAAAGUUUUAAACUCUAAUUUGGAUAUUGUUAUAAAGAUGUUCGAUUUAUACAUCAAAUUUGUGUUUGUUUAUA